AAGCGGCGGGCGGGUGGCUGCCUCCGCCUCCCUCCCCUUCUCCUCAGAUGCCCUUUGCAGGGUUAUUAUUACAGUUAGUGGCUGCGCUCUGCCCGCCCCCCCUCCGCGCUGCGCAGCGCGCUGGCCGCGCUCCCCGCCCGGCCUGGGCUGGGCUGUGCUGGGCUGGCCGCCGCCCAGAUCAUGUAGAAAGGACAGAAAGUGAGCAGGGAGCGGGGGCUUUUGUCUGUAAGAAAUACGUAAUCAAUAGAAGAGAACUUUUAAUUUUUAUUUUUGUAAGAAAGCUGAUAAAGGACAUAUGCUACAAAUUCAGUUCAUUAAGAAAGGCAUAAUUUAAAUGAG
rnacentral:lncRNA from 1 species